UGACAGAAACAGCUAUGAAAGGUGUACAAUAAGUGGGAGGGAGAACACUUAUUCUAUUAUAUUUUAUGGAAUAAAGUGUUAUUCAAUUCUAGAAUCACAAAAAGCAAAUUAAAAUAAUUAGAGGCACCCCUGUGAGGGAGUGGGAUGGAGGCAGCCUUUUGGGCUGCCUAUGAAAUAUCACUACUCUUACUGUUUGUCUGUUUGUUUAUUUUACUGGCUCAGUAUGGCGAGAGUAGGAAGCGAGCUCUAAUGGGCUAUUACUACUGGCUCUAAGCACCCAGUCACACCAUCCAGGCACAACCCUCUCCAGAGCCAGGGCCAGAGCCAAAUGGGGAGUUAAGCGGGAGUGGUAUACCUGUGAAACAAUAAUGCAGGUGUGUCUAAUAGCAAGCUCAGGGAGGGCAUAAACCUCCUAUGGAGCAGAAGGGCAAAAGCACACUUGAUCUUUAUUUUCAUUAUAAAUACAGACCGUGAAUGCACAGCCUCACACAAACAAAAA
rnacentral:ncRNA from 1 species